UACGGAGGGUGCAAGCGUUAAUCGGAAUUACUGGGCGUAAAGCGCACGCAGGCGGUCUGUCAAGUCGGAUGUGAAAUCCCCGGGCUCAACCUGGGAACUGCAUUCGAAACUGGCAGGCUAGAGUCUUGUAGAGGGGGGUAGAAUUCCAGGUGUAGCGGUGAAAUGCGUAGAGAUCUGGAGGAAUACCGGUGGCGAAGGCGGCCCCCUGGCCAUGUCCUGACGCUCAGGGGCGAAAGCGUGGGGAGCAAACCGG
rnacentral:rRNA from 1 species